rnacentral:tRNA from 1 species
GCCGAUGUAGCUCAAUGGUAGAGCACGGCUUUCGUAAAGCCGGGGUUGUGGGUUCAACUCCCACCAUCGGCU